rnacentral:ncRNA from 1 species
CUUAUUAAGAGCGACAGAGGGAAUAGGCCCAAUGAAGUCCAGCAACCUAUCAAGUUAGGUGCUAAAUCCUACGGUUUACCGAAAAAUAAG